GGCUACUCCAAGCACGCGUCCACCACGUCCUGCUGCCAGUACGACCUCUGCAACGGCGCUGGCCUCACGGCGCCCGCGACCCUGGCCCUGGCCCUCAUACUCCUGGCCACCCUCUGGGGUCUCCUCUAAAGCCCUGUCCCGCCUCCGCAGACUGUCCAGCACAAAGCUCUGAGCAGCACGGACCCCACCCUCUGCCCUCCCAGACCCCCCAGCCACACCCAGGACUGUCUGCAAGAGAACCCGACCUCCCCUGGCCACCCUGGGGUCAGCUUCCAGGUCACGACCUGUUACUUCCAAAAGGCUCUUGUGGGACCACGCCUCCUGAGGCAUCUGUCCACGGAUGGGGUGCAGGCAGAGUGUGCUGUCGGGGAGGCUUCGGUCGGCCCAGACCACUGAUUCGAAGGCGCCCUCUGCCGCGUCUGCCCUGAAGCUGUGCUGGAGGGGGAGGCGAGAUGAGGGACCCAGGGGUGGCGGACAGGGGGGUGCGCACCCCUCGCCCCCUCCUGAGGAGUGACCAUUGUCCCGCCGCCUGCAGCAGGCCCCUGUGCUCUGGCCUGCGGGCCCCGCCGGCAUCCUGAACAAGCGGUGGUGCACCGGCCUUGGCCUCCAGGUCUGCUCCAUCCGGAGGGUUGCCAAGGGCCCUGCAAGCUCCACCUCAGGGAGGGGGUCUCAGGAGCCCCCAUGCCAGCUGGGCAUUGGGAUCCCCAGGGACCCAGGCAUGGGCAUUAUUUAAGGGGCACCCACCCAUGGUGAGGCUGGGGAGGCACAGGUGUGUCCAGGGAGCCCAACCCUCCUUCUUGUGAGACCGGACAUGACACGCAGCCACUUUUCUGGGGUCACGCAGCACCAGAGGCCUCCUCACCUGACCAGUGCCCCAGUUCCAGUGUUCACAGAGGAGCCCAAGUGGGUGAAACGGUGGCAGGUGCCCAUGUGGGGGGUGGUUCUAGAACUUAGAAGCCCUGGGCCCCGAAGGGUGGCCCCUGUCAGGGGGACCUGUGCUGGAAGUUCCCUCCUGAGAGCUUCCCCCAGGACUGUCAGGCCCCCAGGGAUGGGGACGCUCUGGCAGCCCGGGUCGGGGUCCUUAGGGGCUGGCAGCGUGCUCAGCCCAGACAGCAGGCCUGGUGUCCCGUCCCCCUGAGGCCGGCCAGGUGUGAGUCCCUCCUCAGGGGAAGCUGGGAGGAAGGCAGACCCCACCCCUGGCCCUCAGGAGAGAGUCCCCUUGGAGCUGGCUGCAGGGCCAGUGCAGAUGCAGGUGCCAGCGGGAGGGCGGGCAGCCUGCCCUCCUGACUCAGUGGGCGGGGCCUGGGAAGCGGUCACCACCCUGCUUGUGCAAGCACUCCGUCCUGGUCGUCCGUCCCUCCCUCUGGUCCCAGUGGGCGAUGGCGCUGAGCCCUGCCUGGCCACCUGUGGGCUGUGGGGUCACUAAGAGCAGGGAUCCAGUGGGAGCUGCAGGUGCACAGUGUUGGGCGGGGUGCUUCUCACACCUGCCUCCUGCAUCUGUCCAUCCAUCCUACACCCUGACCUGGUCCCCCCCAGCACCGGGGACCAUGCUGCCCACCCCACCCCCCUAGAGCAGGUUCUGCCAGGCCAGGCUGUCCCUGCGUCCUGCACAGAGCACAUGAAGGUGCUCGGCUCAGGCCGGGCCAGGCCUCCCAGUGGGAGGUGUGCUGCACUGUCAGGGGACUUGGCUGCAGCACCCCUGGCAAUCAGAGUCAGUUUGUACCUACUGUCUGUCAGUGCGGUUCCCCCUACGACAGCCCUGCAAGGUAGGAGCUGUCAUCAAGCCCCUUUCACAGAUGAGGAAACAGAGGCACAGAGGGGGCGGGGUAGCCCAAGGUGGGCUGGACUCCUUGUCCGCUGCCCCGCUGUGCAGUCCCUUCUCCCGUCAGCUACAGGAGGGAGGGGAGGCUGGGAAGGUGGGUUUAUAAGUUUAAGAGAACUUUAGCAUGUUAAAUAUAAUACCUUAGGGUCAGAAAAGCUCAGGAGGUUUGGGAAGCCAUGAAGGCCAGACUCAGGGUGUCCAGCCGAGUGCCAGGCCGGGGGUGGCAUAGCAGAGAGGGGACAGAGGGGCGCCAGGUGCCCCAUCUGCAUCAGGACCAAGGAUCGUGGUAGGGAGAGGCCCAGGUUCCUCCCGGGAGCCGGCCUCUGUGUCUCGGGAGUGGCAGCUCAACCCUGACGGCCCCUCCUGUGGAGCCUUGUAUUCUGCGUUGGCCUGGAAUCAGCCAAGAGGCUGGCACCACAGCAUCGAGCUGGGGUCAGGGUCGGGUCUGGCCGUCACGAGGAAGGUGUGGUGCGCCGGCUGCUGGUGCCCUGGUGCCACAGGGCGGGGAGGGGCACAGCCCCGCCCACCUCCCUUUGCCGUGCGAGUCCACGUCCGAUGGGUGGUGAUGAGUGUGUAUUUUCUUCCUGAUUCUAAACUUCGGAAAAAGUGAAAA
rnacentral:lncRNA from 1 species